AAAAACUUAGGUUAAUUAAACCAAGAGCCUUCAAAGCCCUAAAUAAGAACAUACCUUCUUAGUUUUUG
rnacentral:tRNA from 1 species